rnacentral:rRNA from 1 species
AUUGAACGCUGGCGGCAGGCCUAACACAUGCAAGUCGAGCGAGCGGCGCACGGGUGAGUAAUGUAUGGGGAUCUGCCCGAUAGAGGGGGAUAACUCCUGGAAACGGUAGCUAAUACCGCAUACUAUCGGAUGAACCCAUAUGGGAUUAGCUAGUAGGUGGGGUAAUGGCUCACCUAGGCGACGAUCCCUAGCUGGUCUGAGAGGAUGAUCAGCCACACUGGGACUGAGACACGGCCCAGACUCCUACGGGAGGCAGCAGUGGGGAAUUUUGGACAAUGGGGGAAACCCUGAUCCAGCCAUGCCGCGUGUAUGAAGAAGGCCUUCGGGUUGUAAAGUACUUUCAGCGGGGAGGCGUUACCCGCAGAAGAAGCACCGGCUAACUCCGUGCCAGCAGCCGCGGUAAUUC